UACGUAGGGGCAAGCGUUAUCCGGAAUUAUUGGGCGUAAAGAGUGCGUAGGUGGUUACCUAAGCGCAAGGUUUAAUCUUGAGGCUCAACCUCAUUCUGCCUUGCGAACUGGGCUACUUGAGUGCAGGAAGGGAAAGCGGAAUUCCUAGUGUAGCGGUGAAAUGCGUAGAUAUUAGGAGGAACACCAGUAGCGAAGGCGGCUCUCUGGACUGUAACUGACGCUGAGGCACGAAAGCGUGGGGAGCAAACAGGAUUAGAUACCCGCGUAGUCCCU
rnacentral:rRNA from 1 species